UCUGUCGCAGGUCAGGCACCGAGGAGCAAUAUAGCGAAAAGGAACACCUCCUCCAGGAGAUCGCCGAUCUGACAAGAGAAUUUCACUACAAGUACAAGGCGGCGGCCGUCCGGAGAGCGGCCCCGUCACGCCCGAAGCUCACAGCCACCGAACGAAGCGACGCGUCUGCGUUACGGGACACCGCCGCCGCAACCAACUUAGCAUAUUCCAUGAAUGGCAGCGCAACUGCGGACGCAUGCCGUGCCUCCACUUCCACUGAUGCUGCUGCUGCAGCGUACGUGGCAACCUCUUCGGUCGUCGAGGUACCGGAAAGUGCUGGCAACAUAUGGACCACUUGUGUUGUGGAUACGGCAGAGCUCCUCUCGGCGGCAGAUGCAGGCGACACAUAUGAAAUUGUUGGUCUUGACGUGAGCAGAGAGU